GCGGUUAACUUCAAGCGGCCGGCACUUCGGGCCUUCCGCUCGGCCGGUUCCCACCGGCAGAGCCUCCAAGCCCGUACCGCACCGGGCGCCGUUCGCUUUGCACGCCGCCCCUCCCGCCGCCCCUCCUCAUCCGGCGUCGGAGAUCUGGAGGCCCCCGGGACGGCGGUGCCGUGGGGUCCCCGGGCGUUCGCGCCUCUCUCUGCGGCUCCAUGGCAGGCGCUCAGGUGGAGCCGGAGCAUUGAGUCCUUGUGGCCGCCGGGGGGCGCCACGCGCUGAGGGAACCGGCUCGCGACGCACGUGGCCACGUACGCACGUACGCCGCGUACGGGCGGCGUGUCCCCGAAGUCGCUCCUCGAGGGCCCGCCCCCAAGGCUGGGAAGGAACGAGCCCAUUGGUCAGCCCCGCGUUGGGGGGGCGUUUCCAUCCUACACCCGGAAGGGAAGGGUGGGCCCGGGGCCGCGUAGGGAUGCCACGGGACUGCGGUUCAGGGUUGGGAGGAGGCCCCGUUUCCUUGCUCACUGCUGGCGGCCCUCAGCUCCUCCCUGAUGGUCUCGGCAUUGCCCGCCCCGUCCUCCAGGUCAGCACUGCAGAGAUGAGAAGGCCAAGGUUCAAAGAGGAAGAUGGCCACACAGAAUACGCAGGCCUCCUUAAUUCGCAUGUCUUGUGCUCUCCAUGCUUGUCUUCAGUGUUUGGGAUGAUUAGAGUUCUCUAUGGAGCGUUCAUCAUGACUUGAAAAACUCUGAUUCUACCACAAACCUAGUGGAACAGAGUCUGUCGCUCUGUACUGAUCUAGAUGACCACCUGAGUUGUGAACCAUUGCAAUUUACUGAAAGUAAUGGGUUUGUCUCAUAACAAAAGAAUAUAACUCAGGUUUCUCUCCUCCAUGUUCUACAGUGGAUUAUAUGUUGUUUUGUAAUAUAUCACAAUCCAACUUGGGGGACAUUCUCACCACAGUAGUAAUUUAUUACCCCAGUCAUUUCUUUCUGUCAUCUUUGGCUGCAUAGGUAUCACCCCCAGAGCAUUUUUUGUACCAAAGGGAGAUCUGUCUUCUUCCCUUUCUUCCUCCCACUCCUGUCCUUGUAGGACUGUGCUAUAUAAGGUGUCUUCUGUCGUUA
rnacentral:lncRNA from 1 species